rnacentral:lncRNA from 1 species
AUGAUUGUUCAUAGUUAUAAUACAACUGAAUGGCUAAGAAACAUACGAAGCUAUUCUAUGCUUCAACAAAACAAACAUAAAAAACUUAUUCAAAUUUGCUUAGAAUCAUAAGAUUCAGCCAAAUUAACUGUCCUUAACCUCAUGAUAGUUUUGAAAACCCUUCAAUCCAACCAAGAGUCAUAGUUACUAUGUAAAAUCAAAGCAUGCACUUACAUGCAUAUGUACAUAUAGAUGUCGAUAUGUCACGAGUUACUCUUAUGGCCUCACAGAAACUUUAAAAGCACAAAAAAUAAGCAAAAUUUAUACCUGUCCCAGUCCUUGCAUUGUAGACUGCCUAAACUGUUGCUGAGCAAGAAGUUGCUGUUGAUGCUGAGGCAAUUGCAUCAUUUUUUGCCUUUGCUGCUGCUGCUGCUGCUGCUGGUGUUGUUGCUGCUGCUGCAGUUGCUGCGUCUGUUGCUGAGGAGAUGGUGUGUUCAUCAUAGUCGUUGCGGACCUUGGUGAGUUGGCAUAUGGGAGUGGAGAAGUUGUGGUGUUAUCAUAGGAGGUAGCACUAGUAGCAGCAGAAGGAGAUGCAGCUGAUCUACCGAUAAGUUGUGCUCCAGUAGCCUGGCAUAAGAAGACUAGAAGAGUAAAGCUAUUGCAUAUAAACUUUGAUCUUCAGAAAAUAAGACACAUAACCAGAAAUGAUACAGAAUGCUUUUCAUAGGAUCAGAAUCAACUGAUAAGUAUAAUCCAAUUAAAAUGAUUAAAAUAGAAUGUGUCUCCCAUGAAUGACUUAAAAAAGGAGAGGAUGAAGAAUUUAUCAAGAACAGGAUCCUGAUGUGGCCUUUGCACUAGGCCAAUGAUCGCAAUAUUGAGGCUAUAAUGGUUGAAUUUUACUCAUAAUUACGUUAUCCUACUCCUAG